AAUGAAGUGCCUGACUAAAGGAUUAUUUUGAUAGAAUAAAUCAUGUAUUUUAUAUACCUUCAUUA
rnacentral:tRNA from 1 species